rnacentral:rRNA from 1 species
UUUUUCCUACGGGGCGCAGCAGUGAGGAAUAUUGGUCAAUGGGCGAGAGCCUGAACCAGCCACGUCGCGUGAGGGAGUACUGCCCUAUGGGUUGUAAACCUCUUUUGUCGGAGAACAAAACCCGGGACGUGUCCCGGACUGCGUGUAUCCGAAGAAAAAGCAUCGGCUAACUCCGUGCCAGCAGCCGCGGUAAUACGGAGGAUGCGAGCGUUAUCCGGAUUUAUUGGGUUUAAAGGGUGCGUA